rnacentral:lncRNA from 1 species
CCGGGAUCUAGGUCGGGAUCCAAUUCAGGAUUCAGAUCUGGAUCUAGUUCGGAUGAAUAUCAGAGGUAUUUUCAUUGUUGUUAAUAAUUUUCUUUAUUGUUAGAUGGAUAUCAAUAAAAAUUGGAUGAAUGCUAGGAUCUAUAGCGGAAACAUACAUAGCUACAGAGUGUGUCACAUUUCACUUGAUAUAUUUUGAUGAUAUCAAAAUAAGAUUCUAUCGUACAGAUUGUAAC